CCCAGGAUUACAAGCAUGGCAUAGCUGAUAACGCUCUGCAGCCCAGACUCCAGCUCCUGUGCACAGCCCUGCCACGAAAGAGAGAGACCUGCUGGCUUAUUUCCUCCUGCGUGAGGAGAGGCGCUGAGAGAGUGGCAUUUACUGACAUUUGCUGCAUCUGGAUUUCCUCUAGCUCAGUCAUUUAAACAAGAGCCCAAAAUGCAGAGCCAGAAUGGCCAUCUAUGAUACCUACAGAAGUCAACUUAGCGGCUUAUCCCCAGACUGGAGAACCUGGCAACCUUGAGGCCCUGGCAGGGGCUCUGAGCUCUCCCUGGAGCCUUCUCUUGUGCAGCUGAACAGCCCCAGCUCUGCCCAGAGGGGCUCCAGCCCUCAGAGCAUCGUCAUCCUCCAGAUUCAGCGUGGUCAAUCCCAGAUCAGUCUGUUCCCCUGCCCCAGACCUGUUUCAACAACUACAGCUAUGGCCAUAUCCCUAAACUCUGCCUGGCGUGCUUCCCUCCACGGUUCCACCUGGCUGAAAAAUGGAACAUGGCCUAACUGAACAUGGCCCAAACCGAGCCCCUCAU